rnacentral:misc_RNA from 1 species
UUAAGUUCAGCGGGUAGUCCUACCUGAUUCGAGGUCAAAACGAGAUGAAAUUUGUCCUUGUGAGGGACGGUUAGAAGCCGUUCCGUCCCGGUCCAGCGCCUCGCGGCAUCGACGUAGAUGUGAUUAUCACGCCGAAAACUGAAGUCGGGAGAGCCGGCUAAUGCAUUUGAGACGAGCCGAGCGGUCAGCCCAGCAACAUC